UCUCAGUAACCUACUGUGCCGGAUGCUGUCUUCCUUGCUGACCCUGUGACCAACUGAGAACACUGGCGACCUUAAGACCACCCCCAAGUCACUUGGACUGUGAAGUCGUAUGGCUGUGACUUGAACAAAUUACACUCAGGGAGGCUCUGUGUCCUUUCCAAUAUAUCCUUACGUGGGACUAUUCUGUACCACAAUGUAGAGUUACAUUUCAUGGAGGUACCUGUACUUUCCAGCAAACGCCACAGUCUUGUUCUUUUCACUGUUGAUGGACACCGGGGUUGCUUCUGGAACAACCUUUAUGAAUAGUAUGGUGAUAAAUACAGGCACACAAGUA